GAUUGAACGCUGGCGGCAGGCUUAACACAUGCAAGUCGAGCGGGGGAGGUUGCUUCGGUAACUGACCUAGCGGCGGACGGGUGAGUAAUGCUUAGGAAUCUGCCUAUUAGUGGGGGACAACAUUCCGAAAGGAAUGCUAAUACCGCAUACGCCCUACGGGGGAAAGCAGGGGAUCUUCGGACCUUGCGCUAAUAGAUGAGCCUAAGUCGGAUUAGCUAGUUGGUGGGGUAAAGGCCUACCAAGGCGACGAUCUGUAGCGGGUCUGAGAGGAUGAUCCGCCACACUGGGACUGAGACACGGCCCAGACUCCUACGGGAGGCAGCAGUGGGGAAUAUUGGACAAUGGGGGGAACCCUGAUCCAGCCAUGCCGCGUGUGUGAAGAAGGCCUUUUGGUUGUAAAGCACUUUAAGCGAGGAGGAGGCUACCGAGACUAAUACUCUUGGAUAGUGGACGUUACUCGCAGAAUAAGCACCGGCUAACUCUGUGCCAGCAGCCGCGGUAAUACAGAGGGUGCGAGCGUUAAUCGGAUUUACUGGGCGUAAAGCGUGCGUAGGCGGCUGAUUAAGUCGGAUGUGAAAUCCCUGAGCUUAACUUAGGAAUUGCAUUCGAUACUGGUCAGCUAGAGUAUGGGAGAGGAUGGUAGAAUUCCAGGUGUAGCGGUGAAAUGCGUAGAGAUCUGGAGGAAUACCGAUGGCGAAGGCAGCCAUCUGGCCUAAUACUGACGCUGAGGUACGAAAGCAUGGGGAGCAAACAGGAUUAGAUACUCUGGUAGUCCAUGCCGUAAACGAUGUCUACUAGCCGUUGGGGCCUUUGAGGCUUUAGUGGCGCAGCUAACG
rnacentral:rRNA from 1 species